rnacentral:misc_RNA from 1 species
UGAGGCCCCGGGCCGCGGCUCCAGCGUCGGCAGGGGCAACAGCAGCUGAGGCAGCAGCUGAGGCAACCGAGACGGCCGCG